GCCGAAAUAGCUCAGUUGGGAGAGCGUUAGACUGAAGAUCUAAAGGUCCUUGGUUCGAUAUCGGGUUUCGGCA
rfam:Daphnia pulex DAPPTscaffold_343_Cont8881, whole genome shotgun sequence.